rnacentral:rRNA from 1 species
GACGAACGCUGGCGGCGUGCUUAACACAUGCAAGUCGAACGGAAAGGCCCUGCUUUUGUGGGGUGCUCGAGUGGCGAACGGGUGAGUAACACGUGAGUAACCUGCCCUUGACUUUGGGAUAACUUCAGGAAACUGGGGCUAAUACCGGAUAGGAGCUCCUGCUGCAUGGUGGGGGUUGGAAAGUUUCGGCGGUUGGGGCUGGACUCGCGGCUUAUCAGCUUGUUGGUGGGGUAGUGGCUUACCAAGGCUUUGACGGGUAGCCGGCCUGAGAGGGUGACCGGCCACAUGGGUACUGAGAUACGGCCCAGACUCCUACGGGAGGCAGCAGGGGGGAAUAUUGCACAAUGGGCGGAAGCCUGAUGCAGCAGCGCCGCGUGCGGGAUGACGGCCUUCGGGCUGUAAACCGCUUUCGCCUGUGACGAAGCGUGAGUGACGGUAAUGGGUAAAGAAGCACCGGCUAACUACGUG